ensembl:lncRNA
GAGAUUAUGAGAAAGGAGGCGAAGGAUUUAAUCUCUUUUGCAUACACACACACACACACACACACACACACACACACCGGCGCACAGCAGCCCUGCUGAGCUAACACCCGGCACCCGGGCCAGCUGCACCAAACCUGCCUCCACAGCAUCAUGACUGUGUGCUGUAAGUCACCAUCCCUCCGGCCCUGCCUGUGCUCACGCUGACCUUCUGAACUUAGGACCAUGUCCAAGCACAAGGAGGGUGGGGUUUAUUUUUUGUGUCAGUUUUAAAAUGUAUUUUAUUUUAUUCAGUUUCAUCUUUUUUUUUUUAGGAGGGGGUGUAAUUGCCCCCGAGCCCUGACAUGGCCUCAUGGUCAUCGGCGGUCGUAGGUGGGGUGGUUGUAGCCGUCACUCCUGCUUAAGCCCCGCUGCUGUGUGUAAUUGUCACCUCGGCCAUUGCGGCUUGGACCAGCGCGCACGGGCACUUGCCCUCCGACUUGGAGGGCAGCCACGGUGGUCAGCCUUCGCUUCUCUUUUUUUUUCUCUUUUUCUUUUUUUUUUUCUUUUUUUUCCCUCUCUGUCUCUCGGUCCUAGCUCCCUGACUGGUGCGGCACCCUCACAGUCACCGGCCCUCCGGUCUAAUCGCCAGUGAGUGGGAGCCGAUUCUAUUUCAGGAAUUCUGCAAUAAUUCCUUCUAUUUAACACAUGAAUGUGUUCAGCAUUGGCAGAGGUGCACGUUGCUACCAAAACUGAAACGGGAUCCCCUGCAACAGAGAGACCGUUGCCAUGGAAAAAUGAAGUAACGCCGGUCCCUGCAGCUGCCAUGCAUUAAUGAAUAGGACUUUUUUCUGUGUGUGUGUGUGUGAUAGAGAGAGAGGGAGAAAGAGAGAGAGAGGGAGAGAGAUCAUUUGUGCUUGGUGUGGCUCAGAGGGAGCUAGCCAGAUGGUUUCCAUGAACAGGAUUUGACCCCCAGGCUGGAGAGCCAUAGUACAGGCCCAUUACUUCAUCUUCCAACCCCCAGUCCCCUCUCUCUCUCACUCCCUCUCUUCCUAGCUAUCUCUCACAUACUCUCUUUCUUUUAAUCUCUCAUUCUUUCUUUUACUCUUAUCUCUCUCUCCGUUCUAUUUUUUUCGUUCAUCUGUGAGACUCUCAAAUCUGUCAUGAUUGGCAAAUCCAGCAACAACUUUCAUUUUGACCAUGAUCGCAUCAAUCAAAAUGCACUCCUGGCAAACUACAACAAAAGAGAAAAAAAAUACAUAAACAGACAUACUUGGUGAUCUCUGUGGCAGUUGGCCUCAGCACAAGCGUAUUGCAUCAGUGGGAAUCAUGUUUCACCUCUUAAUUUGUUUGUAAAUAAAAGAGGCGAGUCCCAGCACCGUCCGUCCUCCUCCUCCUUCUCCUGAGGCUUUUGAUAAGGCUGUCUUGAUGGGCUGCCAUGUUGGGAGCUCAGCCAGUGUCUUGGGUUACACAUUAUUUUCCCCGCUCGUGCCAAAAAGCCGGGGCGAACGCAUGUGCCGCGAGUCUCCGAGAAGACAUGGGAAACGGCAGCGGCUCUUAUGUAAAAACGCUGUGUUUCCUGGCAUUUCAUGCAGGCCUACGUCUCCGAGUGGCUCUUGAGAAAACGUUAAGGACGCGAAACGCUUAAGGGCUUCACUUGAACUUAAUGCGCCUUUUUUUUUCUCCCCCCCUCGCUUUUCUUUUCACUUUUUUUUUCUUUCUCUUGGUAAACGGAGGAAUCAAUGUCAAAUCCCCCCGAAGCUCACGGACGGAGAGCACAUUCCCUCCUGGUUACGUUACGAGCCUCUCUGGUAGUGCCUGAUCUAAAUCAGGACCCGGAGAUGUAACAGUAGAUCUGUCAUUAGCUGUUUAGUGAGUGAGAGCACCAGAGAUGAGGGGAGGGCCGGGAGUGGACUCUGUCCCAUUUUACCCUAUGACCUCACUCAGUCCAGGCCACUAACACCCCAACUCCACCUCUCCACCCCCCACACCCCCCUUCCACUCUUUUUCCCAGUACAAGUCCUAGCUGUCCUGUCCAGGAGGCAUGUUGCACAGUUUAAGUUGUCUUGAAGCCUAGCUGCAGGAGCGGAGGCAAUGGCUGUCUAUCUUUCAGAGACGGUGCUGGUGGUUGGUUGGUUGGGGGGGGGUGCGCGACCUUGGAUCAACAAACACCGCGAUCAAAAAACGCAAUUAACCCACCGCGGCAAGGCAAAUGGGGCGGCCAGCAGAAACAAACAACGGCCCUGGCGUCACCCGCGAGCGUUUAUUUUCCCAGAUUGCCACCUCUGCCGCCAAGGCCAUAGGUACUUGUCAGCUUCUGUAAG